rnacentral:rRNA from 1 species
UGGGGAAUUUUGGACAAUGGGCGAAAGCCUGAUCCAGCAAUGCCGCGUGUGUGAAGAAGGCCUUCGGGUUGUAAAGCACUUUUGUCCGGAAAGAAAUCCUUGGCUCUAAUACAGUCGGGGGAUGACGGUACCGGAAGAAUAAGCACCGGCUAACUACGUGCCAGCAGCCGCGGUAAUACGUAGGGUGCAAGCGUUAAUCGGAAUUACUGGGCGUAAAGCGUGCGCAGGCGGUUUGCUAAGACCGAUGUGAAAUCCCCGGGCUCAACCUGGGAACUGCAUUGGUGACUGGCAGGCUAGAGUAUGGCAGAGGGGGGUAGAAUUCCACGUGUAGCAGUGAAAUGCGUAGAGAUGUGGAGGAAUACCGAUGGCGAAGGCAGCCCCUGCAAGUACUGACGCUCAUGCACGAAAAGCGUGGGGAGCAAACNGGAUUAAUACCCUGGUAGUCCACGCCCUAAAACGAUGUCAACUAGUUGUUGGGGAUUCAUUUCCUUAGUAACGUAGCUAACGCGUGAAGUUGACCGCCUGGGGAGUACGGUCGCAAGAUUAAAACUUAAAGAA